GGGUGCUAGCUUUUAUAAGCUAAAGUUAGAAUGAUACAGAGAUUAGCACAGCCACUGCAAAAGAAUGAGAUGCAGUUUUGUAAAGCAUUCCAAUGUUUU
rnacentral:snRNA from 1 species